rnacentral:rRNA from 1 species
GAUGAACGCUGACAGAAUGCUUAGCACAUGCAAGUCAACUUGAACUUCGGUUUGGGUGGCGGACGGGUGAGUAACGCGUAAAGAACUUGCCUCACAGUUAGGGACAACAUUUGGAAACGAAUGCUAAUACCUGAUAUUAUGAUUUUAGGGCAUCCUAGAAUUAUGAAAGCUAUAUGCGCUGUGAGAGAGCUUUGCGUCCCAUUAGCUAGUUGGAGAGGUAACGGCUCACCAAGGCGAUGAUGGGUAGCCGGCCUGAGAGGGUGAACGGCCACAAGGGGACUGAGACACGGCCCUUACUCCUACGGGAGGCAGCAGUGGGGAAUAUUGGACAAUGGACCAAGAGUCUGAUCCAGCAAUUCUGUGUGCACGAUGAAGUUUUUCGGAAUGUAAAGUGCUUUCAGUUGGGAAGAAAAAAAUGACGGUACCAACAGAAGAAGUGACGGCUAAAUACGUGCCAGCAGCCGCGGUAAUACGUAUGUCACAAGCGUUAUCCGGAUUUAUUGGGCGUAAAGCGCGUCUAGGUGGUUAUAUAAGUCUGAUGUGAAAAUGCAGGGCUCAACUCUGUAUUGCGUUGGAAACUGUGUAACUAGAGUACUGGAGAGGUAAGCGGAACUACAAGUGUAGAGGUGAAAUUCGUAGAUAUUUGUAGGAAUGCCGAUGGGGAAGCCAGCUUACUGGACAGAUACUGACGCUGAAGCGCGAAAGCGUGGGUAGCAAACAGG